CCCUUAGAUGUUCUGGGCCGCACGCACGCUACACUGAUGCAUUCAACGAGUCUAAAACCUGCUCUGAUAGGGGUGGGUAAUCUUUUGAAUGUGCAUCGUGAUUGGGAUAGAUGAUUGCAAUUUUUCAUCUUCAACGAGGAAUGCCUAGUAAACGCAAGUCAUCAGCUUGCAUUGAUUACGUCCCUGCCCUUUGUACACACCGCCCAUCGCUCCUACCGAUUGAAUGAUCCGAUGAAUAUCAUGGAUUGAGGAUGCAAGUAGGUUCGCCUAUCUUCAUCUUCGAGAAGUGAAGUAAAUCUUAUCAUUUAGAGGAAGGAAAAGUCGUAACA
rnacentral:rRNA from 1 species